AUUGAACGCUGGCGGCAGGCCUAACACAUGCAAGUCGAGCGGAUGAAGGGAGCUUGCUCCUGGAUUCAGCGGCGGACGGGUGAGUAAUGCCUAGGAAUCUGCCUGGUAGUGGGGGAUAACGUCCGGAAACGGGCGCUAAUACCGCAUACGUCCUGAGGGAGAAAGUGGGGGAUCUUCGGACCUCACGCUAUCAGAUGAGCCUAGGUCGGAUUAGCUAGUUGGCGGGGUAAAGGCCUACCAAGGCGACGAUCCGUAACUGGUCUGAGAGGAUGAUCAGUCACACUGGAACUGAGCCCCGGUCCGGACUCCUACGGGAGGCAGCAGUGGGGAAUAUUGGACAAGGGGCGAAAGCCUGAUCCAGCCAUGCAGCGUGUGUGAAGAAGGUCUUCGGAUUGUAAAGCACUUUAAGUUGGGAGGAAGGGCAGUAAGUUAAUACCUUGCUGUUUUGACGUUACCAACAGAAUAAGCACCGGCUAACUUCGUG
rnacentral:rRNA from 1 species